rnacentral:rRNA from 1 species
CAGCCGCCGCGGUAAUACCGAGGGUGCAAGCGUUAUCCGGAUUCACUGGGUUUAAAGGGUGCGUAGGCGGGCAGGUAAGUCAGUGGUGAAAUCCUGGAGCUCAACUCCAGAACUGCCAUUGAUACUAUCUGUCUUGAAUAUUGUGGAGGUAAGUGGAAUAUGUCAUGUAACGGUGAAAUGCUUAGAUAUGACAUAGAACACCCAUUGCGAAGGCAGCUUACUACGCAUAUAUUGACGCUGAGGCACGAAAGCGUGGGGAUCAAACAGGAUUAGAUACCCUGGUAGUCCACGCCCUAAACGAUGGAUACUCGACAUACGCGAUACACUGUGUGUGUCUGAGCGAAAGCAUUAAGUAUCCCACCUGGGAAGUACGUUCGCAAGAAUGAAACUCAAAGGAAUUGGCGGGGGAGCACAG